UACACACACACACACACACACACACACACACACACACACACACACACACACACACACACAUAUAUAUAUAUGUGUGUGUGUGGUUUUGGGAGAAAUUGGAGAGUGGUUGAGUUUCGUCGAAAUCGGCAAUCGUAUCGGGUGAAAUAAAAUCAUGAGUUCGAUGACUUGGUCGUGCUGAACGCGCUGGCGCAAUCCGUUCGAAAAUUUGAUGGGCUGAUCACUGG
rnacentral:lncRNA from 1 species